rnacentral:rRNA from 1 species
UACGUAGGGCGCAAGCGUUGUCCGGAAUUAUUGGGCGUAAAGAGCUCGUAGGCGGUUUGUCGCGUCCGCUGUGAAAAUCCAGGGCUUAACCCUGGACCUGCAGUGGGUACGGGCAGACUAGAGUGCGGUAGGGGAGAUCGGAAUUCCUGGUGUAGCGGUGAAAUGCGCAGAUAUCAGGAGGAACACCGGUGGCGAAGGCGGGUCUCUGGGCCGAUAUUGACGCUGAGGAGCGAAAGCGUGGGGAGCGAACAGG